rnacentral:rRNA from 1 species
AAUUAUGAAAUGACUCUCGGCAACGGAUAUCUCGGCUCUCGCAUCGAUGAAGAACGCAGCGAAAUGCGAUACGUGGUGUGAAUUGCAGAAUCCCGUGAACCAUCGAGUUUUUGAACGCAAGUUGCGCCCGAGGCCAUUUGGCCGAGGGCACGCCUGCCUGGGCGUCAGUU